UUUUUGCGCGCUGCUGCUGAAAAACAUUUAUCUGCUGAAAAACAGUUUAAUAAUACCUAAAAAACAAUUAAAAUGUUAAAACUAAUAGCGUUUUAUGUGGGAACAUUGAAGUGAGCUUAAAACAAGUGGACAAAGCUAAUUUUUCACGAAUUUAAGUGAAUGUUAAGUGAGCGCUGCUUUUACUUCUAACUGGAACUGGAUCAGCGUUUAACGGAAUGUGAAAACAAUAUAAAUUGUCCACUAAAACUACAAUAACAACAAUUGAGACUCCCGUGGACAAUUGGCGGCAGCGCAGCACCCGCCAAUAUGUAUGUAUGUAUGUGCGUUGGAGUAUACAUAUUUUUUAAAGGGAGUGAGGGCAUGGCUCUCACUCUCCCUCUCUCAAAGCUAUAUGCAAAAUAACUGUUUUCUGGCCAUGUUUGAGCGUUUGAAAGCAAGAAGCGGGAAAUUUAAAUUUAACGGGCUUGAAGGAGACAAUCGGUGCGUUAUUUUAUUUAAAAAAUGGAGAAAGGAUGGAAAAAGAUAAUAUUGCGAGUGUUAAUUUCCAAACAAACAACAAUAAGAUGAAAAAAAAGAAUGAGACGAUAAU